rnacentral:rRNA from 1 species
GGCCGUUGUCGAAGGCCCCGAGGCGAAACGAGAGUGAAGGCCGGUCCGGUCCGGCCGAGGCGGGAUCCGGCCGCUCCGCGGCCGGCGCACCGCCGCCCUGCCACCAGCCCGCCGCGGCUGUGGCGGCGGAAGAGCGGGCACGCUAGGACCCGAAAGAUGGUGAACUAUGCCCGAGCAGGACGAAGCCAGAGGAAACUCUGGUGGAGGUCCGCAGCGAUUCUGACGUGCAAAUCGAUCGUCCGACUCGGGUAUAGGGGCGAAAGACUAAUCGAACCGUCUAGUAGCUGGUUCCCUCCGAAGUUUCCCUCAGGAUAGCUAGCGCCCGGGGAAGUGUGCAGUUGCAUCCGGUAAAGCGAAUGAUUAGAGGUCUUGGGGCCGAAACGACCUCUACCUAUUCUCAAACUUUAAAUUGGUGCGUUGCCCGACCCGCCGG